rnacentral:rRNA from 1 species
GACGAACGCUGGCGGCGUGCCUAAUACAUGCCAGUUGAGCGAUGAAGAUUGGUGCUUGCACCAAUUUGAAGAGCAGCGAACGGGUGAGUAACGCGUGGGGAAUCUGCCUUUGAGCGGGGGACAACAUUUGGAAACGAAUGCUAAUACCGCAUAACAACUUUAAACAUAAGUUUUAAGUUUGAAAGAUGCAAUUGCAUCACUCAAAGAUGAUCCCGCGUUGUAUUAGCUAGUUGGUGAGGUAAAGGCUCACCAAGGCGAUGAUACAUAGCCGACCUGAGAGGGUGAUCGGCCACAUUGGGACUGAGACACGGCCCAAACUCCUACGGGAGGCAGCAGUAGGGAAUCUUCGGCAAUGGACGAAAGUCUGACCGAGCAACGCCGCGGGAGUGAAGAAGGGUUUCGGAUCGUAAAACUCUGUUGGUAGAGAAGAACGUUGGUGAGAGUGGAAAGCUCAUCAAGUGACGGUAACUACCCAGAAAGGGACGGCUAACUACGUG